UUUCCGUAGGUGAACCUGCGGAAGGAUCACUAAUAAGUUUUCCCUGAAGUUGUUCUAGUCUUUCGGUUCAAGUGCACGCACCCCUCAAUGCAUCUUACACCCAUGCAGCUAUCGGAAAAGACUUGGAACAAAGUUCGGUCUCAACAUCGAUAUACAGUAUCCUCUUUAUAUCAAAUAACAGUUUUAGAAAGUCUUUUUUGCUUGAUGCUAACUUAACUAAAUACAAUUUUCAUCCACGGAUCUCUUGGCGCUCGCAUCGAUGAAUAACGCAGCAGAUCG
rnacentral:misc_RNA from 1 species